AUAACUCAAGCUGCGCACCAUUGUAUGAUUGUAUCUUCGAGGCUUCUCAUAUAUACACACACCUUCAUUCCUUCCUUUUCUGUGUGUCUCUUCUCUAUCCUUUCCUCUCCUCAACAGGGUAAUAUGUAUCCAACCUUUGGAGCAGAUGAAGAUACUGAUUUGCAAUCCACAAACAUAAAAUCUGAUAGCUUCAUAGUUGAAAUGGAGCGGUUUUCUCAUUCAUCAUCCAAAAAUGUCUCUCCAAUAAAUUCAAGGAUC
rnacentral:lncRNA from 1 species